rnacentral:rRNA from 1 species
CGACCGGUGCUUGCACUGGUCAAUCUAGUGGCGAACGGGUGAGUAACACGUGGGUAACCUGCCCAUCAGAGGGGGAUAACAUUCGGAAACGGAUGCUAAAACCGCAUAGGUCCUUUAACCGCAUGGUUGAAGGAGGAAAAGAGGCGCAAGCUUCUGCUGAUGGAUGGACCCGCGGUGCAUUAGCUAGUUGGUGAGGUAACGGCUCACCAAGGCCGUGAUGCAUAGCCGACCUGAGAGGGUGAUCGGCCACAUUGGGACUGAGACACGGCCCAAACUCCUACGGGAGGCAGCAGUAGGGAAUCUUCCGCAAUGGACGCAAGUCUGACGGAGCAACGCCGCGUGAGUNAAGAAGGUUUUCGGAUCGUAAAACUCUGUUGUUAGAGAAGAACAAGUGCUAGAGUAACUGUUAGCGCCUUGACGGUAUCUAACCAGAAAGCCACGGCUAACUACGUGCCAGCAGCCGCGGUAAUACGUAGGUGGCAAGCGUUGUCCGGAUUUAUUGGGCGUAAAGCGAGCGCAGGCGGUUCCUUAAGUCUGAUGUGAAAGCCCCCGGCUCAACCGGGGAGGGUCAUUGGAAACUGGGGAACUUGAGUGCAGAAGAGGAGAGUGGAAUUCCAUGUGUAGCGGUGAAGUGCGUAGAUAUAUGGAGGAACACCAGUGGCGAAGGCGACUCUCUGGUCUGUAACUGACGCUGAGGCUCGAAAGCGUGGGUAGCAAACAGGAUUAGAUACCCUGGUAGUCCACGCCGUAAACGAUGAG